rnacentral:tmRNA from 1 species
GGGGCUGAUUCUGGAUUCGACGGGAUUUGCGAAACCCAAGGUGCAUGCCGAGGGGCGGUUGGCCUCGUAAAAAGCCGCAAAAAAUAGUCGCAAACGACGAAAACUACGCUUUAGCAGCUUAAUAACCUGCUUAGAGCCCUCUCUCCCUAGCCUCCGCUCUUAGGACGGGGAUCAAGAGAGGUCAAACCCAAAAGAGAUCGCGUGGAAGCCCUGCCUGGGGUUGAAGCGUUAAAACUUAAUCAGGCUAGUUUGUUAGUGGCGUGUCCGUCCGCAGCUGGCAAGCGAAUGUAAAGACUGACUAAGCAUGUAAUACCGAGGACGUAGGAAUUUCGGACGCGGGUUCAACUCCCGCCAGCUCCACCA